rnacentral:rRNA from 1 species
UGGGGAAUAUUGGACAAUGGGCGAAAGCCUGAUCCAGCCAUGCCGCGUGUGUGAAGAAGGUCUUCGGAUUGUAAAGCACUUUAAGUUGGGAGGAAGGGCAGUAAGCUAAUACCUUGCUGUUUUGACGUUACCAACAGAAUAAGCACCGGCUAACUUCGUG